CAGUCGCCGCGGUAAUACGAAGGGGGCUAGCGUUGCUCGGAAUGACUGGGCGUAAAGGGCGCGUAGGCGGAUUGUUUAGUUAGGCGUGAAAGUCCGGGGCUCAACCCCGGAUCUGCGGUGGGUACGGGCAGACUAGAGUGAUGUAGGGGAGACUGGAAUUCCUGGUGUAGAGGUGAAAUUCGUAGAUAUUGGGAAGAACACCGGUGGCGAAGGCGGCGACCUGGUCCAUUACUGACGCUGAGGCGCGAAAGCGUGGGAGCAAACAGGAUUAGAUACCCGCGUAGUCCCUGUCUCUUAUACA
rnacentral:rRNA from 1 species